AGCUAAUAGAUACCCGGGUAGUCCUGGCCGUAAACGAUGACCACUAGAUGCACGCGGGCUCGACCCUGGGUGUGUCGCAGUUAACGCACUAAGUGGUCCGCCUGGGGAGUACGGUCGCAAGACUAAAACUCAAAGGAAUUGACGGGGACCCGCACAAGCAGCGGAGCGUGUGGUUUAAUUCGAAGCAACGCGAAGCACCUUACCAGGGCUUGACAUGCUCUUGCACCAGCGGUAAUGCGCUGUCUCCUUCGGGAGCGGGAGCACGGGUGCUGCAUGGCUGUCGUCAGCUCGUGUCGUGAGAUGUUGGGUUUAAGUCCCGCAACGAGCGCAACCCCUGUGGUUGGUUGGAUGUUCUCCAGCCAGACUGCCGUGAGCAACACGGAGGAAGGUGGGGAUGACGUCAAGUCAGCAUGGCCCUGACGUCCUGGGCGACACACACGCUACAAUGGCCGGUCCAACGGGAAGCCAACCCGCGAGGGGUAGCGGAUCCCAGCAAACCCGGGUCUCAGUUCAGAUUGCAGGCU
rnacentral:rRNA from 1 species